GAUGAACGCUGGCGGCGUGCCUAACACAUGCAAGUCGAACGGAGCUGCUUUGAUGAAGUUUUCGGAUGGAUUUAAAACAGCUUAGUGGCGGACGGGUGAGUAACGCGUGGGUAACCUGCCUCACACUGGGGGAUAACAGUUAGAAAUAGCUGCUAAUACCGCAUAAGCGCACGGUUCCGCAUGGAACAGUGUGAAAAACUCCGGUGGUGUGAGAUGGACCCGCGUCUGAUUAGCCAGUUGGCGGGGUAACGGCCCACCAAAGCGACGAUCAGUAGCCGGCCUGAGAGGGUGAACGGCCACAUUGGGACUGAGACACGGCCCAAACUCCUACGGGAGGCAGCAGUGGGGAAUAUUGCACAAUGGGGGAAACCCUGAUGCAGCGACGCCGCGUGAGUGAAGAAGUAUUUCGGUAUGUAAAGCUCUAUCAGCAGGGAAGAAAGUGACGGUACCUGAAUAAGAAGC
rnacentral:rRNA from 1 species